UACAGAGGGUGCGAGCGUUGUUCGGAAUUAUUGGGCGUAAAGCGCUUGUAGGCGGCACGUCAAGUCGCGUGUGAAAUCCCCAGGCUUAACCUGGGAAGUGCGCGCGAAACUGACGAGCUUGAGUGCCGGAGAGGGUCGCGGAAUUCCCGGUGUAGAGGUGAAAUUCGUAGAUAUCGGGAGGAACACCAGUGGCGAAGGCGGCGACCUGGACGGACACUGACGCUGAGGUGCGAAAGCGUGGGGAGCAAACAGG
rnacentral:rRNA from 1 species